rnacentral:rRNA from 1 species
ACGCUCGACACCUACUGGAGGCAGCAGUGGGGAAUAUUGCACAAUGGGGGAAACCCUGAUGCAGCGACGCCGCGUGAGUGAAGAAGUAAUUCGUUAUGUAAAGCUCUAUCAGCAGGGAAGAAAGUGACGGUACCUGAGUAAGAAGCCCCGGCUAACUACGUGUCAGCAGCCGCGGUAAUCUGAGCGGGCUGGCAAGGC